rnacentral:ncRNA from 12 species
UGCCUAACCCUCGUAGCUUGCUGUGAGGUAUGGCACAAAAACCGGUCAGGGGCAGAAAGCCCAUCGUUUGGGAGCACCCUGACCGGUCAUAUGCCGAAAGGCAUAUGGGUGGCGUAAGCCAU